UUCAUAAGAAUAUAUUUAAGUCUUGACUUAAAACAAACAAAGUCUAUGCCAUUAUCCUGAAAGAGAGAUUUGUGACCUAGGUUGAUCCUGACGCUUACAUCUCAUAUCGUGAUGGUCCGAGCGGGAAGGCUAAGUAAUGGGUCUCUCUUUAAGAACUAAGCUUAAGUAGUUAUUGCCUACUUUUAGUCACAGUUUAUGUAAAAACAGUCUGUACAGUUUCACACGAGAUUGGGCAUAGGUCAGUGAUGUGAGGAGACUGUCCUCUUCUGUGUAACCUGGUGUUUCUGCCUGUCUUCCAUGCAGAAGCACUGAUUGCUUUUCUUCUGAAUUGUCUCUUUAAAGAUGGUUGGAUAGUGAAGAGCCUUGGAAGAUAGGGUAUCUCCCUGCUGAGUGAAGGGUGUGUUUCCUUACAGUUGGGUAUAAUAAAGACGGUGUUCCCUCCAGACCCUGGAGGGCAGGCAGGCUUAUUGCCCAUUGUAAAAGGUGUGGCUACCCUAAGCCCAGGGUCCUCCUGCUCUAACAGCGGCCCACUGAGCCUAUCUGUGUCUCUUCGGUGAUACUUGGAGGCAAGGAGAACUAUAGCAAAUAUAUUAUUCUUGCUUCUUGAUCUCUGCUACUCGUGAUAAAACCCUUUGUCUCUGACUCAGGAGUCUUGUGCCUUCUGCCAGCAUCCAUAACUGCGGCAGGCUGAUUUGUUAGUUUGCAAGAAGAGUAAAAUCUCAGACUCUUCCAUUUUUGACAGAUAACAAAAUUAAACAUAUGGUGUA